GAUGUGUGUGACGCCAGCGGCGUGGACGCGUUUUUUUUUUUUUAGCGCUUACGCGGUCGCCUGCCAGCUACUUGUUUCCAUAAAUGCGUGCUAACAUUUCCAGUGCUCGUCUUUAUUAUAACGACCAUCUCGACAUAUUUCGAUCUUAGAACGACAUUCUAACCGGACUGAAUCAUGGCACCUAUCAGAGCGCACGUGGACACUCGGACACGCGAGAACAUGCCAGGGCUUGUCUGAUAUUCAGGGCCUUCGGGACUUCAGCACUAUGGGCAGCAUAUUCCCUAACCAGUUUUUCCCACAUCUUUACCUGGACGGACCUCCUGAAGUAAAGCCGAAGCAUAGUUACAGAGGCGUGUUCGCUGUCAACGCUUGACUGACUGCAGAAGUUCCUUGAGGAGGAUUCCGACAUGUACUUCAGUGUUAAGUCGCCAUGACUGAACAGAAACAGAACAGGGGCGGAGCUUAAAGACAUAGGGAGAUCUGAUGGUAAUCUCCUGUUGUUCUGGAUCAGAAGGACUGCAGCCUGAGUGAUACUCGCCAAAUACCUGAGUAA